rnacentral:rRNA from 1 species
UACGUAGGGUGCGAGCGUUAAUCGGAAUUACUGGGCGUAAAGCGUGCGCAGGCGGUGAUGUAAGACAGGUGUGAAAUCCCGGGGCUCAACCUCGGAACUGCAUUUGUGACUGCAUCGCUGGAGUGCGGCAGAGGGGGAUGGAAUUCCGCGUGUAGCAGUGAAAUGCGUAGAUAUGCGGAGGAACACCGAUGGCGAAGGCAAUCCCCCUGGGCCUGCACUGACGCUCAUGCACGAAAGCGUGGGGAGCAAACAGG